UUUUCGAUUCGAAAUAUAUCGCUUCUCGAACGACAGUGCUGCCACCGUACGUCCAACGAUAUGACACUUCCCCCUCCUUCCCCCGCGUCUUCACCUUCUCUUCUCCCGGAAAUUUUGCCCGGAAAAGGUUCCAUCAAGCAAGAAACACGAUCAGGCCGGUGGCGGCGUUUGAAAACAAAGGAAACAAGGAAAGAACGAGAGGAAAGGACGACGAGCACGGGAGAGGCGAUAUCAAGUCUGAAAGCGAAUCGGAGUAUAGCAAUCGGUUUUCUUUAGCGCUUAUAACAACGUCUGCUCGAUAGCUCGAAAGCUGGCGUGAAAAGGAAAAUGGACACGAGCCGGGCCAACCAUCGCCUUCCUUGAUAUUCUUCGAGGGUAAGUCCGAUUUUAAAGCGGCCAGAGAAACGUCAUGUGGACGAGAAAAUCGUAUUAUCGCCGAUACAUUCUUGCUGGAAAUCGAACCUUUUAUACAGUAUACCUUGUACAUAUCGAUUCCGUGAUAAAUUCGUUUCAAACGUUUUUCAAAAAUCUUUUGAAUAUUUUAUAUUUUAGUUUUAAAACAGGAAUCGAAUGGGAAAUUGUUGACACAUUUUUGUUUAAUCACAAACCGUGAUUGUUUAUAGUGAAAUUUUUAUAAAGGGAUGGAAAUUAAAUGGAUAUUUGUUCUAUUAAUUGAA